rfam:Oryza punctata chromosome 7, whole genome shotgun sequence.
AGGGAUCCUGCAGGGGCGAGCUGGGAACACACGGAUGGAUGUAAUGUCAGGGCUGCUGCUGAUGACGCGGUCUAGCCCGUGUGUUCUCAGGUCGCCCCUGUCGGGGCUCU